CGUUCUCCUCAAUCGCACCAUCUUCAGCAUUGAAUCCUAUGGUUCUCAAGCUUCCUUACCUUAAUUUGGUAUUUUAAUCUAGCUAGGGGAGAUUAGAGAGAGAAGAGGAAGAAAUCAAGAACUUUGAUGCCAAGUUUGCCAAAGUUGACCAGGGCACUCUCUUUGACCUUAUUUUGGCAGCAAAUUAUCUAAACAUAAAGAGCCUUCUGAAUUUAACCUGUCUAACAGUGGUUGAUAUGAUAAAGGGGAAGACACCUGAGGAGAUUCAUAAGACAUUUAACAUAAAGAAUGAUUUCACCCCGGGAAAGAAGAGGAGGUCCAGAGGGCAUUCGAGUAAAGUAUACAUCAUUAUUAUGGAACCAACUUGUUAUGUUUGUUGUUGUUGGAUUGCUUUCCCCUACUAGUGAAUCUUCUUAUGUUGGAUUAUCUUACAACUGUGUUUACCCUUCAUCUUUUAAGUCUAUUUUAACUUUGAAUGUUGCUACUAAGAGGGUUCUUACUCCUCCUCUUAAUUACUUUGAAGAUAAACUGGCAUGGAACUAGUUGUGUUGUUUGUUAUCUCUUCUAUUGUUGAUUGUUAUUGCAAAGAAUAUUGAAUGUUGUAGAAAAAUGAAGAAUGGGAAUAAAUUGAUAUAUUUUGUGAUUGA